AAUAGAUCCCCGGUAGUCCACGCCGUAAACGAUGAGUGCUAAGUGUUAGGGGGUUUCCGCCCCUUAGUGCUGCAGCUAACGCAUUAAGCACUCCGCCUGGGGAGUACGGUCGCAAGACUGAAACUCAAAGGAAUUGACGGGGGCCCGCACAAGCGGUGGAGCAUGUGGUUUAAUUCGAAGCAACGCGAAGAACCUUACCAGGUCUUGACAUCCCGCUGACCGGUCUAGAGAUAGACUUUUCCCUUCGGGGACAGCGGUGACAGGUGGUGCAUGGUUGUCGUCAGCUCGUGUCGUGAGAUGUUGGGUUAAGUCCCGCAACGAGCGCAACCCUUGAUCUUAGUUGCCAGCAUUCAGUUGGGCACUCUAAGGUGACUGCCGGUGAUAAACCGGAGGAAGGUGGGGAUGACGUCAAAUCAUCAUGCCCCUUAUGACCUGGGCUACACACGUGCUACAAUGGACGGUACAGAGGGUCGCAACCCCGCGAGGGUGAGCUAAUCCCAUAAAACCGUUCUCAGUUCGGAUUGUAGGCUGCAACUCGCCUA
rnacentral:rRNA from 1 species